rnacentral:rRNA from 1 species
UGCCUACGGGACGCAGCAGUGGGGAAUAUUGCACAAUGGGGGAAACCCUGAUGCAGCGACGCCGCGUGAGCGAGGAAGUACCUCGGUAUGUAAAGCUCUGUCAGCAGGGAAGAAAAUGACAGUACCUGACCAAGAAGCCCCGGCUAACUACGUGCCAGCAGCCGCGGUAAUACGGAGGAUGCGAGCGUUAUCCGGAUUUAUUGGGUUUAAAGGGUGCGUAGGCGGACAGUCAAGUCAGCGGUAAAAAUGCGGUGCUCAACGCCGUACAGCCGUUGAAACUGGCAGUCUUGAGUGGGCGAGAAGUA